AAAACACCAUUUUGAAGGUGUUGGUCGUACAGAAGAAGAGCAGGGGCGACUCCCCACUCUCAAACCCUAAAAACUCACUAAACUUGCAAAUUGAAGGCUCAAUCCAAGUCGAAAUCGAAAUUAAAGUGUAGAUUAUUGAUCCUCAUCACAAGAGGAUUACAAGUUUGACGCUUGACAAGCUAGGUGAAGGCUUGGAAAGGAAGCGGGUCAAACGAAGCAAAUAAGAAGGAAAAGCGUACUUCGGAUGCGAGGUAAGUAAAACUUACACCCACUUGUAGUAUAUGUGUUUAUUUCAUAACGAUGAAUACAAUAAAGGAUUUGGUUUGAAUCAUGGGUUCCGACCCAAAACGAAAUGAGUCGGAACCAACAAAAAAAAAUGUUUUAAACCAUGAUAAAUGGUGAAAAAGGCAAAAUGGUAAAUUAGUCACGAACUGGUUAAGAAUUAGUGAGUUUUUCUUAAAGUUACCUUAUAGCGUAACUAGUAAUGGAAAAUGGGUAAAAAUGGGAAUUUAGUCAAGUAUCGACUAAAGUAAAAUAAGUUUCAAAGGACACCCAUAGCGUGAGCCGAAUGGGUUUAAAAAAAUAAUAAAUAUAUAUAUAUAUAUAUAUAUAUAUAUAUAUAAGAAAUUGACUUUAGAAAGAAAGGGAUCUAGUGAGAAAAUCCGAAAUGGGUCGGAUAUGUGUUUGGUAAUUAAAAACCCAUGUUUUGUUACAUAUGAAAAUGUUGGGUUAUAUAGGUCGAACGGGUCAAAUGGUGGGAAUAACGCCAUUUGACAAUAUCAACUAAUGUGGUUGUCAAGUCAUGUGUUUUCAGGGGCGAAUAGUAACUUGGGUAAUUGCGUCGCCAUAAGAAUAUCGAUAAUAAAAGCAAGGAGUCGAAACGGGUCAUUAGGUUGACUCGAGCCAGGUAUGUAUAAAUAAGAUUGUGGUUAAACAUAUAUUUUUUUUUGGGUCAAAUUAGUAGCAAAUGCCCUUCGUCGUAAAUGAGGGGCUAAAGUCGACUAAAAUACCCUUGAUGGGUAAAUCGGGCAAACGACCUUUAAAGGUUGUUGGAAAUAAGUGAUUUGAUAGAUUAAAUUCUUAGGAUAAGUAUAAAAGGGAUGAUAUGGGAUCUUAGUGCAUAAAUACCCUUAACGGGUCAAAAUAGAAGUAAUAGCGAAACGGGUUAAAAAUGUGUAGUAACCCGUAAAUUGAACCUUGUACAAUAGGAAAUAACCAUAAUAAAAUGUUUACAAAAGAAACAAAGGCCACGAACGAGUUUGUUAGAGGAAACCGUGAACGGGUCAAAAGUGUCGUAAUUGGACUUCAAGCCGAGAGCUUGAAGUAUAAAAUUUCAUGAAGUGAGAUGUUAGAUUUCAACUCCAUUCGAUGGAGAAUUAAAUUACGAGUGCGUAGGAGAAAGAAUCGUGUAAAAAGGACAAGCGGAUUGAAAGAUACGAAAGUUUUGUGUCAAAUAGCGGCAAAAAAAAAAUGGAAAGGUUGGAUGCAGGUGCCACUGUAACUUACGGUGCCACCGUAAGUUACGGUGGAGCUGAAUUGGUUACGGUGCUAGCCUACUGAUGUACGGUAGGGAAAUGUUAACACAGGGGCCACCGUAACUUACGGUGUCACUGUAAGUUACGGUGGAGGCCAGAAAUGAGUUAUUGUGUUGGGAUCAAGAUAUAAAUGUUGGAUUUUCCUAAUUUCCUCGUUGUAUUAGUUAUUUAAUUAUCAAAACUGACCUUUAAGUUGGUUUUGAUCACAGGUGAAUGUCGAGAGUCCCGGAUGAAGAUCAAGCAUCGAGCAAGAACCGAACACACGUUAAACAAAGCUUCCGCAACGUUGUUUUGUCGUUAUUCUAAACGGCGAAUUAAAUCACAUUAUGUAUAUCACUUAAAUUGUAAAAGUUUUUAACAACCCGUAUUUCCGAUGUAUAUGUAAUCAUUAAUUACAUGAUUAUUUCGCUAAAUAUACGUUAAACCUUGAUUUAUAAGAACGGGUGUUACA